UGCAGAAAUCAAGACAGUUGUCGAGCGGCCUCCUUUGGCCCUCACUCCUGUGUCCUUCCCAGAGGGACAAGCGAGUCGUGGUUUCACCUCUGGUCUUCGGAGCUGGACGACAAGGUCCCAGAGUCACCUCAGGAGCGAGUCGCAGCCUUGUUUCUCCUCAGAUCCCUCUAGAAGGGCGCCGCUGGGGCAUCACGCCGUCAGGGGGUGAAUCUCGUCGUCACAGCUCUUAGGGCUGUUCCGCGGGUGCUGUGAGGACCGGCUGCAGAGCACAGAGCAGAGGGCCUGGCGGGCAGGGGGCCGGUGGUGGGCGAGCCUCCAGCACCACUGUCCCCGGCAUGGGGCCCCUGCGCCCUCCCAUCCACGAGUGGAGCGGGGGGCUCUUCCCAGACACCCUGGCCCUGGCCGCCCCUGCGUCAGCCCCUCCCAGGUUUCCGUGGCCCCCUCAGCUAGCGAGCACUGACUGUGUGCAUCUCUUCCCAACUUGAGGUAGAGUGGGGGGCACACACGGCCCCAGAGGCCCCAGAGGCUGCGGGUGAGCCCCAAGGGAAGCAGACGCUGUCCCCUCGUCCUGUCUACCUUGGGUGGAACAGGAGGGCCUUGGCUGUGAGCACGGGUUACAAGAUCAAAAUCACAGGGCUGCCUUCACAGUGUGUAAACCACGGUCAGGGGCUUGGUUUGGGCCUCAGUUUCCACAUCUGUGAAAUGGGGAGGAGAGAGCUAAUUUGCAUGUUAAAGCAAUGCGAGAUGUGGUUUGAUGAGCACUUUGUAGCACAUAGUAGGUCCUCAAAUUUGCUGUCAGACUGUCUGCCACAGAGCCGGGGGCCCUUGUUGGGCCCAGGCACUGGAGGCACGCGGGCCCUCUUGAGGCUCCACCUGGGGAGGCCCAGGCUUGUCUCCAGGGAGCAAAGCGGAUACUGACGCAGCCCCCUCCGCCCCAGCCUGGGAACCACAGCAUUCUGGGACGUGGGGACUGCGCCAGGACGGGCCGCCAGCUCCCUCUGCUUCUCGUUAGGACUUGUCACCUCCCCCGCCCGGCCCCUCCCUGUUGGGCAGCAGCACUCCUCACCGUCCUUCUGGGACCAUCACGGCCCAGAAAGUCCUGUCAGCUCAGCAGGGUCAAGCCAGGGAAGCUGCGCCUUCCAGAAAGGAGGGGGAAGAGGCCGAGCCUGGACUCUGGACCCGUGAGCCAGGCCCGAGCUGAGCCGCAGAUGCUGUCCAGCCACCUGAACCAGGUGGCCUGUGAGCCUUCCAUCUGUGAGCAGAGACCGGGUCAGAAGUCUCUCCCGCAGGCAGGUACCUGCACGGUGGCCGGCGCUGGGCAGGGUGUGUGAACGGUGCUGAGCGGUGCCCCUGGGGACGCGGGACGUCACGCACCUGGGCGAGUCGGCUGCUCCCUUCCUUCUCACCGCACCGUGUCAGCCCAGCUGAGGCCCGGAGUCUUCCCGGGGCAGCUCCCGGGCUCUGACAGCCGAGGCGAGAGGCGGCUUUGUCGUCCAGGCCGCGAACACAGGCCCCGAGGUCCUGCUGAAGUGGACUAGGAGUUCUGGUCCCUUUGUCCGGACGUAGGAGGCUCGGAGUCUGCGUGCACGUGGCGUCAGCGAGCGGCUGGAGGAGGCUCCCUGGCGAGCUGGGAGGGAGCCACCGUGCCUCCCGUCUUCCCGGGACUUGGACUGCACAGGCGUGCCCGCUGCACUGCGUGUUCGAGACCAGCCAUGACCAUCCUCGGAGCUUCACGGGAAGCGCGUGCCGGGACCACUUUCCUCAGAGGAGCUGUGUGGACCUGCUCCUCGGCCUGCCUGUCGCACAUCCUUACAGCCCUCAGGGACAGAUAUUAUUAUCCCCAUCUUACAGCGAAGGAAACAUACACGAAGGCCUUGCCGGCCCCUGGACUGGGGCGACCCGUGGUUUGUGGAGGUCUUCGCCUGCAUGGUCCUUUGUCAGGAGGUCAGCUCAGAGCUCAGCCCUGCAGGUGGUAUGUCCCCCGUCCUGCGAGUGCAUUUGCAUGUGGUGAGGGAUAUGCUGUGCCCAAGCUUUGCCCCCCAGAGACCCAGAGGUAUCCCACCAAGGCCAAAGGGACGCUGUCCCCAGCCCUGCCGAGGCCAGGAACUCCAGGGAAGCUGUCGGCCGCAGAGCAUCAAGGAGCAGUGCAGGUCGUUUGGAGGGUUCGUCUUCUGAACCAGGAGCAGGGGCGCGGCUGCUCUGGGGUGUCCCCUCUGAGCUGGACACUCAGACGUGUGAUGCAUUACGUCACAUCACAGGCUGGCUACCUCUAGAUCGUGUCGUUCAUAUUCGAGGUCAGAGAGUUUUUGUAUGCCGGUGACUGUCACUUCCCGGGAAAUGGCGGUAAAGCGUCUUGAGGAAUGGGAAGCGUUUUCUAACUUCACCAACACACGCUUCAGGCUAGAAGCGGGGAGGUCAGGCAAUUGUUGUCGCAGCUCUGUGAGAUGCAGAUUAAAAGCUCCAUUGUACAGAUAGGGAAACUGAGGCUCAGAGAGUUUACCAAGCUUGACAGAACCAGGAUUUGGACCCAGGUCUUACCAGAGGAGUCUAUGCUCCUUCUCUGCGCCAAGCCUUCCUCCAUGGCCUCGUGUCACGGCCUGGGGAGAGGGGCCACAGUGAGAAAUCUAGAAACAAAACGAAAGACGUUCUUAAGACGUCAGACCAGGUGUGUGCGUCUGCCUCCCUCUCUGUUCCCGGUCCCACUGAAAUGACAGCAGAGAGGCACAAGGAGAAAAACUCAAAAAGCUGUUCAGGCCUGAACAGGGCCUACAAACCACUGAAGCUCCUGGAAAGUUUCUGGGGGACAAAUAGCUGGGAGCAGAGGGGGCCCCAGCUGAUGGAACUGGCUAAAGGAAGACUCGAGACGCUAGGGGAACCACCUGCAGGGCCGCCCAGGGUUUGCGGGUGUGGAGCGUGCGGUGAGAAGAGGCAGAGAGAACAGGAGCUGAGCUUGAGUCCUAUUUGCAGGUGAGCCGAGCCUGGUGGCGGAGAACGGCUAUCUAGUCCUCUGUAGACGCCAGGUCUUCUGGGGGUGGUGGGGGGUGGCCCUCUUCCUGUCAUCGUUUGGACAGGAUGGCA
ensembl:lncRNA